UACGUAGGUGGCAAGCGUUGUCCGGAUUUAUUGGGUUUAAAGGGUGCGUAGGCGGCCUAUUAAGUCAGUGGUGAAAUAUCUCAGCUUAACUGAGAAGGUGCCAAUGAUACUGAUGGGCUUGAGUACAGAUGAGGUAGGCGGAAUUGACGGUGUAGCGGUGAAAUGCUUAGAUAUCGUCAAGAACACCUAUAGCGAAGGCAGCUUACCAGGCUGUAACUGACGCUGAGGCACGAAAGUGUGGGGAUCAAACAGG
rnacentral:rRNA from 1 species